rnacentral:rRNA from 1 species
GAUGAACGCUGGCGGCGUGCCUAAUACAUGCAAGUCGAGCGAACGGACGAGAAGCUUGCUUCUCUGAUGUUAGCGGCGGACGGGUGAGUAACACGUGGAUAACCUACCUAUAAGACUGGGAUAACUUCGGGAAACCGGAGCUAAUACCGGAUAAUAUUUUGAACCGCAUGGUUCAAAAGUGAAAGACGGUCUUGCUGUCACUUAUAGAUGGAUCCGCGCUGCAUUAGCUAGUUGGUAAGGUAACGGCUUACCAAGGCAACGAUGCAUAGCCGACCUGAGAGGGUGAUCGGCCACACUGGAACUUGGACACGGUCCAGACUCCUACGGGAGGCAGCAGUAGGGAAUCUUCCGCAAUGGGCGAAAGCCUGACGGAGCAACGCCGCGUGAGUGAUGAAGGUCUUCGGAUCGUAAAACUCGGUUAUUAGGGAAGAACAUAUGUGUAAGUAACUGUGCACAUCUUGACGGUACCUAAUCAGAAAGCCACGGCUAACUACGUG